rnacentral:rRNA from 1 species
GUGCCAGCAGCCGCGGUAAUACGUAGGUGGCAAGCGUUAUCCGGAAUUAGUGGGCGUAAAGCGCGCGUAGGCGGUUUUUUAAGUCUGAUGUGAAAGCCCACGGCUCAACCGUGGAGGGUCAUUGGAAACUGGAAAACUUGAGUGCAGAAGAGGAAAGUGGAAUUCCAUGUGUAGCGGUGAAAUGCGCAGAGAUAUGGAGGACACGCAGUGGCGAAGGCGACUUUCUGGUCUGUAACUGACGCUGAUGUGCGAAAGCGUGGGGAUCAAACAGGAUUAGAU